UACUCCCUCUUGGUACAAAUUAGAAAUC
rnacentral:piRNA from 1 species